GGGGGGAAGAGAGAUUAACCACUCGGACUUGUCUCUGGAGCCGAGCCAAAGCGAGCAGUCGGAUUACAGCCCGGGGAAGAAAAAGGGAGGAAAAAAAAACUAAAAACAAACAAAAAAGAAAAUCAGCUACUGUUUUCACGCAGGGAGGGAGCCGUCGGCUUCCCUGCCCUGCCGCUGCUGUCAGGGCACCGCCUCCCCCCCGGCCGGGAGCCCCAUCCCCGCCUCGCCGGGAGCCCCACCGGCUCCUCUCCGCUACCACAGGUUUUAAAUGCAACGCCGUAACGCGCAGCGUGGGCAUGAAACGGCGAGAGCUUCUGUACGUGAGCCCGAACUGCCAAAACGCGAAGGGGGCAGGUCCACCCUGAAAUACAGUCCGUAAAAAGAGCAAAUUCAGAGAUGUUUUAGAGACUACACCUGCCUCCUGGCAGUCUGCCCGACCAUCUUUGAAAAGGCCCCCACUGAGUUUAUUUACACAUUUGAAGUAUCCCAGGCUGUUUUGCAUGUACAGUGAUAAAAUGCAGCAGGGACAGGAUCACAAUUAACACUGAAACCAAUGUUAUAAACAACUGGAGAAAAAGAGCACUGCCAGAAGCAUGAGGCAGACUCUUUGCAAAGGAAACUACAGGAAAAUCUACCAGGGCUGAUACCUGGCAUAGUUUUAUAACACAUGGACUGUUUAAUAGUGUGUUUAUUCAGCAUCUGUCUGCUCCCAGUUGGUACAGCACAGCACAGAACCUGAGUGAAUCCAUCCCAUAGAUCCACUAAUACUAGCCUUUAAUUGAUGCAAGCAUUUGGAAUUUACGGUUGCAGAGCACGCACAGAAAGCACAAAAUACAGGUUUUAAACAAGAUCAAAAGGAGGCUCUGCAGUUCCUGAGACACACCAUCACAAGUGUGUUUGUGCUCGCCACUUGGCACUAUCCUAUAAACAAGGUAAUUAUUUGAUAAAACAUGAAUUUAAAGGGCAGAGUAAGUGCUAAGCUACUGUCCAUCCAGACUUUCUCCAGGAAAACAGCCUUACAAGCUUUCACCUUUGGGACAACAGAACUUACCAUCUGAAAGUUUCCACGUGUCCUGCUGCCCAGCCUGAAGGCAGAUGUAGCAGGCAACUGACUCCACCUGACAACCACCACAUGACUAAAGCCUUGUCUGCCACUUUCCUUGUUUGCGUCACAACAGAGGACCCAAGAAGGACGCUGAAGCAAACCAGUUUGAGAGUCAUCUACAACAUUACAGAAAAAGAGCAUUACUGAAUGAAGGCCAAGGUCAGCUAAUACCACGGAGAUCCUGCUAGAAGUGUUGGUACUGGAAACCACCUGCUAAGCCACUAGAGAGUCAUACAGUUUUGUGUCACAGAAACACAAGGAAGAUACCUCAAGGGGACGAGGUAAUUACCUCAGUUCUUUGAAAUGCUGACAUCAAUGCAGAUUGAUUGAUUGAUCAGAGAUACUGGAAAAAGGAGAGGCAUUGAAGGAACUGGAAGAGGAAUAUCCUGCAUUUGCCUCUGAGGCCACAAAAACAGCAGCGGGAAGGAAGAGAGUCACAUGAAAGCACGUCUCCUCCAGACAGCAUCUAUCCAGAUGACAAAAGAAAUUUAAAAUAAAUGUUUAUGCCACAGGAAACAACAGGAAAACAGGAACUUUCCUGCAUAGCAUCAGGGAAGCAAAUGCAUGUUUCAGAAGAAGGCUCUAAUUACAGCUUUUUAGCUAUUUGAAGUCCCCUUAAGCUUGUAAUGUUUCAGAAGCAGAGGAAUACAGAAUUGUCAGUCCAAAAGAUACAUUGCAUCUAGGAUUUUGCCUUUUUUUUUUUUCUUUCUCUGCUUCUUCUUUGGAGUCUGCCAACAGCUACCCUGGAUACCUACAAAUAAAGUAGUGUUUCCUGGCACUUUUACCAAGAUAUGCAUUUUGAAUGGCUUCCAGAAGCAUAGAUUAAAUGUGCUUUAAGUGCCAACAGCCAUAGCCAUACCCCAAACUUUUGGUGCUUCUUUAACGCUAUCUCCUCACACAAGUUUCCACUCCCACCAUGCUCAUGACUAGAACCGUACUCCUCUAGUAUUAAAUCCCCUGCUGUAUGCAAUUACGUUUACUGUAUAUUACUUUAUCAAAGUCUGUCUAUGUUUUUUUAUACUGUCCUUGUCAGCACAAUAUCUGAACCAUCUAUUUAUUUUAACAGCCCCCGAAAGAUAAUCAUAGCACUUUUUUAUGGUAUUUGGGCACUCAGAAAGCACACCAGAGCCUAACUCUCAUUAAAAUUAAUUCAAAGUAGGCACCCAUGUCUAGACAGAUUAAAUGCCAAUGUAUUGUUUCCUAUAAAUUAAGCUUUUCUAAAAGCCUACAGACAGAAAAUGUUCCUGAGGGAUCUGUCUCCUUGCCUGUUCACUUUAGCUUGAAAUGUUGGUUUCCACCAACAGGUCCAUCAGUCCAGCAUGGAGUAACUUCUGGGAGCUGUGACAGCCUGAGGUGAGACAGUCUGGUAAGCACGACCAAUGCUAUUUACGCCAAAUUUAUGAAAAAACAAAAUCUUUUGGUGCUAAGAAGUGGCUGAUAUAUUUACGAGUAGUUGAAACCAUCUGUAUUAAAAAAGAAUAAUAAAAAGAGUAUUUUUUUUUAGGUGUAUUACACUGCCACAGUCAAGCCAGGUUCAGAUUUUUCUUAAAAAGGUUUUUCAUGUAGUCAGAACCAGUCCUCAAGAAAAAAGACCAAGACAAUGCAGACAGUUAGCAACAAACAACCAAAACCAUCAAGACAGUGACAGAAACCACUUUGAACUACCCCUUUUAAACUUUAGCCACUGACCCAGCUUCUCUUCAUCCAGACAGAAAUGGUCUGAAGGCUGGCAGGAGGCAAUUGUCCUUCUCCUGCAAGCACACUCAUACCCCUGCCAUCUUGAGUCCAUGGCAGCUUAUGAUUUCCUCUUCUAAGUCCCCAGGGAUACCAAACAGGAUGCAAGAGUCUUGCUCUGUGUAGUCAGGGACAUCCCGAGUGUGUACACCUGGAGUGUAUACUGCUUGAAAGUCAGACUGCUUCUGUCAGCACAUAUUCAAAGUGAACAGA